rnacentral:lncRNA from 1 species
GGGGAAGGGAGAGGGGGAGGGGGAGGGGAAGGGAGAGUUGAUUAUCAGUAAUAUUGACAACUAUAGCUGCUGCCUAGGAAUUGCUUUCUUUCAGGAGCUACACAGUGUCUGCUCUUUAGGCUGUCAUCUGUGGUUGUCAUUUGCAUGUUCUUAUAACUCUUAAGAACAUGCUUUUAUUCUAGAUAUUGUUUUACAAAAUGGAAACUUAGCUGUUUAGAAGAGUCUGUAAACCUUGGCAGUUGACAUGACAGUGGAUUCUGACUGGAUUUUCUGCUCUGACCCCAAGACAAUGUCCUCAGCUGAUUCUGCUUGGACUAAGGUUCUAAACGGGGACUGGAAAACUUCUUUUGGCAAAGGGCCAGGGGGUAAACACUUUUGCUUUGUGGGCACUGUGGUAUCAGCUUCUAUUUCUUAACUUUGUUGCUGUAAUGUGAAGAAAGCCAUUGGUGCUGUGUAAAUAGAUGGGUGUGGCUAUGGUCCAAUUAGACUAUAUUUAUAGAAAAUGGAGAAGAGCUUGCUCUAAAGAACUAAAAUGGGCAAAUAUACACAGUCAAAAAUCACCUCAUGGUAGCAGUUGUUGCUUCAAAAACUCUACUUUUAGCAAUACAGGAAACUACUUCCCUUAUGUUCUUGGGUCUGAGGAAACAAAACAAUGAAGAACCGACAGUUUCCUGUUUCUGUCAGUAUCAGGCAGGAGAGAGAAAAAUUUCUUGCACUGGGAAGAAGAAAUAGGGAUAGUGAACCUGUGGGUCAGGAUGAGAAGCGAUGUUGGCCAGCUUUCUAAAGUUGAGUCUAGAAGGCAAGAGGAAGAUAGCUGAACAGAGAGAAAUAACAGCUGCCCAAGUAUGGGACUCACCGGAAAGCUUCUUCAUAAAGUGACGAAUUGGAAGAAGACCCUGGGCACCAGAUAGGAGCUGAGACUUCCAGGAAUAAAUCCUAUUACAGCCUGGGGGUAAGUCCCUUGAAAGCAGAAGGGAAUCAAUAACAAUCUUACUUAUUUUUAUUGUUAAUCUUGGGUAUCA